AAAACUGCUAGCGAACCUUCGA
rnacentral:miRNA from 1 species